AGUCCAGCCAGCGCAGGCACUGGUAGCACAGGACUGCUGCCCUUGGUGAUAUUUUUCUUCUCAUUUUGGAAAGCACGGAGGUUUUCUGCUGUGACACCAGAGAGAGCUCCAUAAAGACUCACUGAAAGAAGCAAGCUUUUUCCUGAGAGAACAAUGGGUGAGAAAUGAAUGUGCAAGAGAUGGGUAGAACAGCUGCAUCCUUUAGAAGCCAGCCCUGCAAAGUGACACUGGAUAUUUCAGAAAGCUGUGGCCCACCGACAGCCCCAGCCUGCGGACCUACUGUGGGGGACACCCCAAAACAGCAAAUGAAGCGAGAGUAUGCACCUGAGACCUCUGAGAAUUUUACACUUAGCAAAAACAUGGUGAUUUCAUUCUGAAGCAGGAAGAAAUUGCUGAGUGGCAGACACUGGACAUUCUAGGGGGAGAUGGUGACAUCUGCCACCAAGGAUGAGACUGCCUCACAGCUUCAAGUUUCAAGAGGUGACAGCACACCUGAGUCACAACCUGUGACUGAAGAGUAUACUCUGCUGCAAGAUUUCUGCUCAGGAGGCAUUUCUGCAAAAACCUUCUCUACUCUUCAAGUUAAUUUAUGUUCCCACUACAGCCUGAGACUCUUUCAAAACACUUACAUAAAUGCAUUGACUAAUUCAUUAAAUGUUUUUCCAUUAUUUUUCUUAUUUUCUAACUGACCUCUUAUAAUGUAUGACUUAUGAGGACAAAGCCAAUGUCAUCUGAACUACUGUUAAUCCUAGCAUAGUGCCUAAAAAAUAUUAGAUGCUCAGUAAAUAGAUAUUCAUUGAAUGAGUAAAUGUGGCAGAUAAGUCAUAAACUUUGAAGUCAGAUAUGAGUUCAAAAUGAUCUUGAGAAAAUCACGCAACUUAUCAGGCCCUAAUUUUCUUCACCUGUAAAAUGGAAAUGAUGAAAUAAUGAUUAUGAGAAAGAUUUUAGUCAACUUCCUGUGACACAGGUGGCACUCAUUGAAUACAUUAUUUUCUAUUUAAAAAUAUUUAGCUUAUUGGUUAUUACAACCAGGAUGCAGAAAAUGUCACAUUUACUUGAUUAAAUCUAUGAAAAUUAUAGACACAAAAUUUAGAAAAAGAUUAAUAACCCUUGAGAGACAAAGAAAAACAAACCCUAACUUGUGACAUGACUUAAAAAUCUAGACUAUUCUUAUUUCAGAGAUAAGAUGUUUUACUUACGCUUAUACUGAAGGUUGAAAUUAAAAUAGUCACUGAUUUUAAAAACAAAGGCUAAAAUUUUAAAGCAUGAAAUAAUCCUCAAGCUCAGUGAAGUUGUAACAGAAACCAAAAUAAAAGUUGUUUACUAAUAUUAAUAAGGUUCUAGAAAUGAGCAAAUGACUCUAAAAAUGAACAAAGACAACCAGGAUUUGUACAUGUCAGUGGGGUGGGGAGAGUUUUGCUCAGCAACUGUCUGAGGGUAGUCCUUCUCAAACUUAACAGGCAUAAAAAUCAUCUGGUCUUCUUUCAAAAAUACAGUUCCUGAUCUAGUAGUAUUAAUUUGGCUUGAGCUUCUACAUUCAACAAGCUCCCAGGUGAUGUCAUCAGUACGGGUUUAAAGGCUACGAUUUGAAUACUGAGUUAUUGAAAAAUGAGCAGCCUGAGGAAAAUCGGGGGAAAUAAAAUUAUUUCUAUUUUCUACAGAUUGUAAAAGAAAUAAGAUGAG